rnacentral:rRNA from 1 species
AGUGAACGCUGGCGGUAGGCCUAACACAUGCAAGUCGAACGGCAGCACAGUAAGAGCUUGCUCUUACGGGUGGCGAGUGGCGGACGGGUGAGGAAUACAUCGAAAUCUACUUUUUCGUGGGGGAUAACGUAGGGAAACUUACGCUAAUACCGCAUACGACCUACGGGUGAAAGCAGGGGAUCUUCGGACCUUGCGCGAUUGAAUGAGCCGAUGUCGGAUUAGCUAGUUGGCGGGGUAAAGGCCCACCAAGGCGACGAUCCGUAGCUGGUCUGAGAGGAUGAUCAGCCACACUGGAACUGAGACACGGUCCAGACUCCUACGGGAGGCAGCAGUGGGGAAUAUUGGACAAUGGGCGCAAGCCUGAUCCAGCCAUACCGCGUGGGUGAAGAAGGCCUUCGGGUUGUAAAGCCCUCUUGUUGGGAAAGAAAGGCAGCAGGUUAAUACCCCGCUGUUCUGACGGUACCCAAAGAAUAAGCACCGGCUAACUUCGUG